rnacentral:rRNA from 1 species
AUUGAACGCUGGCGGCAGGUCUAACACAUGCAAGUCGAGCGGUAACAGAACUAGCUUGCUAGUUGCUGACAAGCGGCGGACGGGUGCGUAACACGUAGGAAUCUACCCAGUAGCGGGGGAUAGCCCGGAGAAAUCCGGAUUAAUACCGCAUACGCCCUACGGGGGAAAGCAGGGGAUCUUCGGACCUUGCACUAUUGGAUGAGCCUGCGUCGGAUUAGCUUGUUGGUGAGGUAAAGGCUCACCAAGGCGACGAUCCGUAGCUGGUCUGAGAGGAUGAUCAGCCACACUGGGACUGAGACACGGCCCAGACUCCUACGGGAGGCAGCAGUGGGGAAUAUUGCACAAUGGGCGAAAGCCUGAUGCAGCCCUGCCGCGUGUGUGAAGAAGGCUCUAGGGUUGUAAAGCACUUUCAGCGAGGAG